ACCUUGAGUGAAAAUCAAGCCAGAGAUGUCUUGUAUAAAGCAAAUAUCGARGAAAAGAGGUUUUGUAAGAAUGCUGGGAUUCUUGAUCCUGCACUUCAUCCAAACAAAGAACAGGUUCCAUGUUCCCCGACUUACUUCCAAAAAGCUUUUGGAUGCUAUAACGAAACAGUGAGGCUGUUCAGAUCUAACAAAGGUGACGCAAGGCUUUGCAGUGCUURUGCAGAAGCCAUAAAGUGUGAGAAGUCCCUCAUAAAUACAGAAUGCUGGUACACUGGUGUCAAAAAAGAACUGAUAGAGUUGGCUUUCGAUGGUUACAACCCGUUCUGUGAGCCCUCUACUCCUACAGAGAAGAAUGCAGCACCACAUCUGCGUCAAGGAGUAGCUUUCCUGAUUUGGGCUGCACUGAUAGCUUCAGUGCUCUGGUAAAUUCCUUUAAAAGGAAUUAAAACCAUCACUAUGAUCUAUGAUAAAGAAGAAAACAUGUUGAUUAAAAAAUAUUUCUUGAGCAGUGUUGAUUCGGAUUUAAGGGUCAGUGAGGAGGUAGCUAGCCAUCCUUCUCUUCCAAUGYAAAUUAUACAGUUCUUAUCAACAGAGGCUUUGCACCAUCUCGUGAUGGCAGUCAUAUCGACAGAACUGAGGCAGGAGCUAUUGAAUCUAGUCUAAUCUGAUUUACAUGAGAAACAAUUCUGAUUCCCAGGGUAAAAAGACUAUUUUUGUACCUCCUUUCAUCCAUUGACGUGAUGGCGCAAAACCUUUAUGAUACUAAAAAGGUUUUUUAUUAAAACCAAAUUUUGUUUUGA